UACAGAGGUCUCAAGCGUUGUUCGGAUUCACUGGGCUUAAAGGGCGCGUAGGCGGUCGGCCAAGUCUGGGGUGAAAUCUUUCGGCUCAACCGGAAAAGUGCCCCCGAUACUGGCCGUCUAGAGGGAGGUAGGGGCAUGUGGAACUUCCGGUGGAGCGGUGAAAUGCGUUGAGAUCGGAAGGAACGCCCGUGGCGAAAGCGAGGUCCUGGACGUCUGCUGACGCUGAGACGCGAAAGCCAGGGGAGCGAACGGG
rnacentral:rRNA from 1 species